GCGCUACUGCGCAUCGUGCGUGCGGUGCUUUGGGUGUAGGAUGGAUCGGCUAUGGGGUGCUGCGGCUACGAGGUGUUUUGGCUACGGUGUGUGCCAGCUCCGGCUUAAAUAGGCGUUCUUGGUUCUGAGGGUAAUGUGGGCAGUGGAGCAGGUCUCCGCGUAGGAGUUGUGGGUGCCCCGUCCCUGGAGGUGCACAGGGCUGUGCUGGGUGGGGCUGAUGGGUGCCGAGCAGUGCAUGGCUGGGGGUUGGAACUUGACUUUAGGAUCCCUUCCGACUCAGCUGUUCUGUGCUUCUCUUUUGGCUGUAGGGUAGCCUGUAUGUACCCUGUAAUGCAGGGAGCUGCUGUUGGGAUGGUGUCAGAGCUGAGGGGCCGUGAUGUGGGCUGCAGGUCCUUGGGGGCACUUCCCAGCAGCGGGGCAGCUCCAAGUGCAGCAGCGGAGGUGUUUCAGACCGACCUCUCGUUGCUUUGCUCUGGGUUUUCACCAAAGCAACGUUCGAGGUGAUCAGAAGUGGAGAAGGAUCCAGGAGCAGCCCAGCCGCUGUGCUCACCUUGGGGCUGGGAGACUCCUGCAGCGCCGGAGAGGCCGUGCGCCCUAAGGCAGACUGUGACUUGUUGUGGUGGGAUGAGCCAUACAACAACAAAAUCACUAGUCUUCCAGAGGGCACCGCGGCCAUCCUCGUCCCGUAAGCACCGUUGUAGGGAUGCAGGAUGAGUGUCCUCACCCUCUGCCUCCUUUCUGCUCCAUUCUGCCUGGUCAGAAAGCCUCUUCUUCACCCUUUGGAACACCCUGACCUGGUUUUGCUGCAUCCUCCAAAGCGAUGGUGCCUGAGUUUCCUUUGCCAGAGUUUGGCCGUAUGUGGGCUGGAUGUCACCAACCAGCGUUGUUUUCAGUGCAAAAACUUCAGGAGGAUCCAGGCAAUGGGAUUCCUCAAAUAAAAAAAAGCAUCCCUUCUGUUUGCGCGUGCAAUGGGCUGCUCAGGGUACUGCUGCAGCUCUGGCUGUUGGGGCUCUAGUACACCCGUGUACUUGCUUGGAAUGCUGUUUUUACUGGGAAUUUCAUCCUGACUUGUGUUUCACAUCCUCAAUGUGCUUGGAGUGCCAUCCUUGUGGAAGACUUCGGUGCGCUUGACUGCAGAGCCCCAGCGUUGGGGGAUCUGGAGGUGGAUCACCUUCUUCUAAACCCCCUUUGUGGCAAAUCUCGUCUCUUUAUUUGGCUGAUAGCUUUUUGGGACCUGGCUAAAAGCUUCGCCAUCCUUUGACGUGCAAGGUGUCCUGUGGGGUACGGAGGUGGUGAGGCUCAGCACUGCAGUCAGCUCUUGGCUGCUCCAGGGUCUUUGGGGAAGGUGAAUCCGAGGAGCAAUGCUAACAUGCAGCAUCCAUCUUUUUCCUUCUGCUUCUCCCCCAGCCAACACAAAGAGCCCGGCAUCAGCAGCCCUGCGAAUUCCUGCUGUUCCAAAAGUUAUAUAAUGGGCAACCGACCUCUGUGAGACGGUUUGUGAAUUGGUUGAAAUAACAGGCCUGGCUCUCUCCUGGGAAGCUAUAUGGAGGUCAGCCUUGAAGAAAAGAGCGGUACAGCAGCUCCAAGCAUUAGCAAGAAGAAAUAACUGAAGCAGAGAGACUUGAACGUAAUUACAGCCUAAGAGCUGCGAUGGGAACUCAGCGACCUGAGCCCGUCUCCUGGACUUCAGUGCAAUCAACAGAUUGACACCACCAGCUCGUGAAGGCUGGUUUCUGGAAGUCGUGCAGUGGUGCUGAAUGCCAGAGCAGGUGGAGAAGCAGCACAGGUGGCUGUUCCAAAGGCUGGAGCUAGGAAAGGGUCUCAAAUGCCAUGGAAGAAGCAGAUGGAGGCAACCACUGGAACGCUCCGUGCUUAAUUGAGGGCACCUUCAAGGGUGAGCGCGAGGUGGCUGCCCACCACUGGGAUGCUCUGCUGCUGCCAUGUGAGUCGCUGUCAUUAGAACCAGGAAUGGAGUUUAUAGCUGAGUAACCACAACAACUUUGCACAAAUUAAACAACAUACUGCAGGUUAAUUAGAUUUCUUACUGCUGCCUCAAUUAACUUAGCCCUGUCAUCUGCUGUCAGAAGUGGAUGGAGACCCUUUGAAAUUCAUGGGCUCUAUCGUUGAGAGAUGGGAAUGGGAAAACCUCUCCCUGGGCAACCACACCUGUGAGAGAUGUGUUUGCAUGGAUGGGCAUCUUCUGUGCUUGGAAACCCCUUUGUGUGACAGGGGAGAGCAGCAGGAGAUGCAUUUGUCCUCCACCAGCAUAGUGACCAAGGAGGAUUUCCCCUCUGGUAUUUCAAACUCACCUUGUCAUAAGACAAUACUUAAAAAAAAAAAAGCAAAAAA